rnacentral:rRNA from 1 species
ACUACCACAGUCCGCGGUUUCUUGUCGUAAGAGACGACUAAUACAGCGAUAGGUUCCUCUAACCGUUCUUGUCGGAGCAAAAGGAGGAGGCCCACCGAGCUUCUUUUCGGUACCACGGGUUGAGCAGCUAUCCAAGACUGCUCAUUGAGGUAGACCCCCUGGUGGGAGUAUCGUGGUGGCUGUGGUUGGUACCCAUAUCGCGGGUAGAGCCUUCGUGUUCGACGUUUGAGUUAAGGUGCUGGUUGCGCAAAACUCGGGUGCUGUGACCCAGAGAUCAGUAGAGAUUUUUGGUAGAUCUCGCUCCUCAGCAAGGGGGAGGGCUUGCCCGGCAAGCAAGUACUCGAAUUGCUACCGGGGUGGUCGCUAUGUACAUAGCUAUAGCUUUUAGUCCGGGACGGUUGUAUCCAGACACAUGCACCGUAUGCUCACAUUUGGGUGUAUGGGGUGUUGGAAUAAUUUGCGGGGAAAGAAAACUAUUUGCGGAAACUCGGAUGGGGCUUCAAGUAUUGUUGGACAAGACGUUGUACUUUUUAUCUAUCGUCGGCCUCAAACUUAAUGCCGACAAAUGUUUUACCGUUGGCAUUAAGGGCCAGCCGAAACAAAAGUGUACCGUGUUAGAGGCACAGAGCUUCUACAUAGGCUCGAGUGAGAUUUCAUCACUGAAGCGCACGGACGAGUGGAAGUACUUAUGCAUCAACUUCACUGCAACCGGGAGGGUUCGAUGCAAUCCGGCCGAGGACAUUGAUCCAAAGCUACAAAGAUUGACAAAGGCCCCCCUCAAACCACAACAGAGGUUGUUCGCCCUUCGGACUGUCCUUAUCCCACAGCUCUACCACAAGUUAGCCCUUGGGAGUGUGGCGAUAGGCGUCCUACGAAAAACUGACAAACUUAUAAGAUAUUGUGUGCGAAGAUGGCUAAAUCUUCCGCUGGAUGUGCCGAUAGGAUUUGUUCAUGCACCCCCAAAAAGUUGAGGUCUCGGAAUUCCAUCACUAAGAUGGGUAGCUCCAAUGUUAAGGCUAAGACGAUUGAGUAACAUUAAAUGGCCUCACCUCACGCAAAACGAGGGAGCCAGCUCUUUUCUCGAAGCCGAAAAACAACGGGCCCGAGACAGAUUAUUAGCUGAACAAAAUGAAUUGUUAUCGCGUCCGGCAAUAGAAAAAUAUUGGGCGAACAAGUUGUACCUCUCAGUUGAUGGUAGCGGACUCCGUGAAGCGGGCCAUUAUGGCCCGCAACACGGGUGGGUUAGUCAACCCACGCGUUUAUUAACAGGAAAGGAAUAUAUAGACGGUAUUCGUCUGCAGAUAAAUGCCCUUCCCACAAAGUCUCGUACUACAAGGAGAAGGCACGAAUUGGAACGACAGUGUCGUGCAGGAUGUGAUGCUCCCGAAACAACAAACCACAUAAUGCAAAAAUGCUACCGCUCGCAUGUCAGGCGGGUAGCUAGACACAACUGCGUAGUAAAUCGAAUCAAGCGGGGACUUGAGGAGAGAGGCUGCGUGGUCAUUGUUGAACCAAGUCUGCAGUGCGAAUCCGGCCUUAAUAAACCAUACCUGGUGGCACUACGACAAAAUCACAUUGAUGUGAUCGACAUACAAAUUGUGACAGACGGACACUCUAUGGAUGAUGCGCACCAGCGCAAAAUCAAUAGAUACGACAGACCGGACAUACGAACUGAAAUGCGUCGCAGAUUCGAAGCCGCAGGUGACAUUGAAUUCCAUUCUGCCACCCUGAACUGGAGGGGGAUCUGGAGUGGUCAAUCCGUUAAAAGAUUGAUAGCAAAGGGUCUCCUCAGAAAAUAUGAUAGUCAUAUCAUUAGCGUUCAGGUUAUCAGAGGCAGUCUCGGUUGUUUUAAACAGUUCAUGUACCUGAGCGGGUUUUCCCGAGAUUGGACUUCGCUAAAACGUUUGGUUCAAAAAAUUUGCUUGCUGUCUUGGCAUAACAUCAAAAAUGCAUAAACAUCGCAAAAUAAUUGUUAUAAUAAAAUGGCUAUGACGAUGGUUUUAGUACGUAGGCGUUGCAGAACUUCGGUUCAGAUAGAGCAACGAAUCGUGCAUGCUAGGAAAACUGACCACACACAGUUUUGGCAGACCUAGUAUCUUUAGAAGAUUUCCAUACUUUCGCGAUCAAAAAAAUAAAUAAAUAAAUAAAAAUAAAUAGCCAAAUGCCUCGUCAUCUAAUUAGUGACGCGCAUGAAUGGAUUAACGAGAUUCCUACUGUCCCUAUCUACUAUCUAGCGAAACCACAGCCAAGGGAACUGCCUUGGAAUAAUUAGCGGGGAAAGAAGACCCUUUUGAGCUUGACUCUAAUCUGGCAGUGUAAGGAGACAUAAGAGGUGUAGAAUAAGUGGGAGAUAUUAGACCUCGGUUUGGUAUCGUCAAUGAAAUACCACUAAUCUUAUUGUUUCCUUACUUACUUGAUUAAAUGGAACGUGUAUAAUUUCCUAGCCAUUAUACGGAUAUAUUUAUUAUAUCUUAUGGUAUUGGGUUUUGAUGCAAGCUUCUUGAUCAAAGUAUCACGAGUUUGUUAUAUUAUAUAUCGCAAACAAAUUCUUUAAUAAAAGGAUGCAUUUAUGUAUUUUUGAUUUGAAAAUUUGGUAUAACUCCAAUUACUCAGGUAUGAUCCAAUUCAAGGACAUUGCCAGGUAGGGAGUUUGACUGGGGCGGUAAAUCUCUCAAAUAAUAACGGAGGUGUCCCAAGGCCAGCUCAGUGCGGACAGAAACCACACAUAGAGCAAACGGGCAAAUGCUGACUUGAUCUCGGUGUUCAGUACACACAGGGACAGCAAAAGCUCGGCCUAUCGAUCCUUUUGGUUUAAAGAGUUUUUAACAAGAGGUGUCAGAAAAGUUACCAUAGGGAUAACUGGCUUGUGGCGGCCAAGCGUUCAUAGCGACGUCGCUUUUUGAUCCUUCGAUGUCGGCUCUUCCUAUCCAUGUGGAGCAAAAUUCACCAAGCGUUGGAUGUUCACCCAGGGAACGUGAGCUAGGUUUAGACCGUCGUGAGACAGAUUAGUUUUACCCUACUAAUGACAAAACCUUGUUGCGACAGUAUUCCUGCGUAGUACGAGAGGAACCGCAGGUACGGACCAAUGGCACAAUACUUGUUCGAGCGAACAGUGGUAUGACGCUACGUCCGUUGGAUUAUGCCUGAACGCCUCUAAGGUCGUAUCCGUGCUGGACUGCAAUGAUAAGUAAGGGGCAAUUUGCAUUGUAUGGCUUCUAAACCAUUUAAAGUUUAUAAUUUACUUUAUAAACGACAAUGGAUGUGAUGCCAAUGUAAUUUGUAACAUAGUAAAUUGAGAGGAUUUUCGAUCACAUGAUGACGCGCUAGUUACAUAU